rnacentral:rRNA from 1 species
UACGGAGGGGGCAAGCGUUGUUCGGAAUUACUGGGCGUAAAGGGCGCGUAGGCGGAAGAUCAAGUCAGGGGUGAAAGGCCUGGGCUCAACCCGGGAACUGCCUUUGAAACUGGUUUUCUAGAGUACGGGAGAGGAUGGCGGAAUUCCCAGUGUAGAGGUGAAAUUCGUAGAUAUUGGGAAGAACACCGGUGGCGAAGGCGGCCAUCUGGCCCGGUACUGACGCUAAGGCGCGAAAGCGUGGGGAGCAAACAGGAUUAGAUACCCCCGUA